GAUGAAGAACGUAGCGAAAUGCGAUAAGUAAUGUGAAUUGCAGAAUUCAGUGAAUCAUCGAAUCUUUGAACGCUCAUUGCGCCCGCCAGCAUUCUGGCGGGCAUGCCUGUUCGAGCGUCAUUUCAACCCUCGAGCCCCCCCGGGGGCCUCGGUGUUGGGGGACGGCACACCAGCCGCCCCCGAAAUGCAGUGGCGACCCCGCCGCAGCCUCCCCUGCGUAGUAGCACACACCUCGCACCGGAGCGCGGAGGCGGUCACGCCGUAAAACGCCCAACUUUCUUAGAGUUGACCUCGGAUCAGGUAGGAAUACCCGCUGAACUUAAGCAUAUCAAUAAGCGGAGGA
rnacentral:misc_RNA from 1 species